rnacentral:ribozyme from 1 species
GAAAAAAUAAGAAAAGCAAAGUGCACUGAAAAACCUGAAAAGGUGCGUGCUAUAUCUUCAUCUCUCCUUCGUGCCAUCUACACUCUUUCUUCUUGUGCUCACAAUCACUAUUUCUCCUCAUAUUCAAUCGAUGCACUUCUAGGAAGUGGCAGCCAUGCAGUAUAUCAAGAGCAGGAUCGAGAAUU